GCUGCUGUAGCUCAGUGGUAGAGCGUGCCCUUGGUAAGGGCAAGGCCGCGAGUUCAAUCCUCGCCAGCAGCU
rnacentral:tRNA from 1 species